rnacentral:lncRNA from 1 species
CCGCCCUCAGCUUGGGCUCCUUCCCCAAUCAGUCACCUGACGGCGGCUGGAGCCGGUGAGAAAGCGCCCGAUGCCUGGCGCCACGGAGCGAGUGAGAGCUGGUGCUCUCCAGAGACAGACAGGGAGGAGGACGAGG